GAAGAAUUGUCAGGGUGAGGCAGGGAGACAGGGCACCAAGCAAUACUUUGGGCUUUUGCUCCCUGGCGUCUAUAUGAGGGCCUAUCACAUCACAGGCCCUGCAUCGUCCUAAGUGCUUUAUAAAGGCUGUCGGACAAUCUGUGACAGGAAGCAGGAGACUGAGAGAAGCAGGAAGGACAUCUGGUGGGAACCAAGUGGCAGAGAAGGGGAGAAGACUGGUCAUUCUGUGGCAUGUGGAGGACAGCCAGGUGGCCGGCUACAGCAGCAAUGGCAACAGACGAAGAAGAGGGUGAGGACCACCACCAGGGGUAACCCCAGGAGCACAGUCAGGCAGACGGUGUUGAAGACGCCUCUUUCGUGCCUGAUCCGGAUGGUUUCCCAGACAGAGUCGAAGAAAGAACUGUUUCUCUCCAUGGUGCUGGCCUAGUGUGGGGCCAGAGGAUCCUUAAUUAUCUAACAAGCCAUCUUCACAGAACACAGUGUUAGACACUUGGAAUUUAUGUUUCUUUCAGCUUCACGUUUGGGCAUGCCACCAGGAGUACCUGAAGAAGGUAAAAUGGACAAUUCAAGAGAACUGCAGUAGCGAUGGUCUAUCUAUUUUCA
rnacentral:lncRNA from 1 species